rnacentral:lncRNA from 1 species
GAACUCAAGCAGGUCAGGAAGCAGGAGUUGGUUCAGAGGCCAUGGAGGGAUGUUCUUUACUGGCUUGCUUCCCCUGGCUUGCUCAGCCUGCUCUCUUAUAGAACCCAAGACUACCAGCUCAGAGAUGGCCCCACCCACAAGGGGCCUUUCCCCCUUGAUCACUAAUUGAGAAAAUGCCCCACAGCUGGAGCUCAUGGAGGCAUUUCCUCAACUGGAGCUCCUUUCUCUGUGAUAACUCCAGCCUGUGUUAAGUCGACACACAAAACCAGCCAGUGCACACUAUAUUCCAAUUAAAAUGCUACAAUUUAAAAUCUAACCAAAUGAUGAAGAUAAUGAACAACUAUUUUAUAUAUUGUGUUGGGAGUGUAAAGUGAUACAGCUGAUUUUUAGAACAGUUUGGCGAUUUGUGGUGGCAGUGCAAGGGACUGAAUCCAGGACCUCAGACUUUAGUCAAGCACUCUACCGUUGAACUACAGUUGCAUCUAGCUUGCCAAUUCAGCAUACGUUCCAUAAAUCCUAGCCACUGCAAUGCUAAGAUAAUAUUGAUCAGCCAAAACUGUCCUUAAGGACACGGUUGGAUGACACAGGAGGGUUACAGCAUUUGCCAUGCGUGUCUGAUUUCCCAAGUUCAGUCCUAGAACCCUUGGUAGGAAGAAAGAACUGCCUCUGGAAAGUUGUUCUCUUACCUCCACACAUACACUAUGACACACGCACAUCAUACACAAAACAAAAUCAAAAUUCCAUGGAAAAUUUUAUCCAUGAAUAUUAUGGUAACUGUGUUACACAAAACCAGAAACAGCAUGUAUCUGCUGAUGAAUACGUGAGUGAAAACAGUUACAGUUAUCCAUUCACUGGACUUCCACCAUUCCCCAAAGCACACUAAAACAUGUAAAACAAUGUGGUUCUUAGCUCAAACACAUGCUGAGUAUAAGACGUCAGGUGUGUCAUUUACAUUAAAUCCUAGACAUUGCAGACUACUGUACACUGGCAGAAAGCAGACUCUGAUGACUUGGGUCAGGGUAGGGGUGAAGGUUGACUAAAGAGGAGCACCAUGACAUUUGGUGACUGUGAGACAGUCUGUAUCUUGGUCAUGGUGGUACUUACCCAGGGUUAGCAUUUACCAAGUGGGAACUGAGUGGAGGGAUCACUUGAUCCCCAAACUUUUAACUUUUGGUAAUCAAUAAUGUCCCCCAUUUAAAAGUUUAAGUCAUUUUCUGUCUUAUUUCAUUUACAGGAUCCCCUGACUGCACGAGGUGUUUCCUCAGCCUUUGAAUCUCUGAUACUAUUUCAUGGCAAAUACUUAUGAUUCUAUGUAGUUAUAUAUAUCUUGGAACUUUUAUACGUAAUUUUAGUUUCUCAAAGAGAUAGAUUAAGGAUGGUAACAAAUGAAAAAACAUCAGUUUUGCUUUUUGGGUUUUUUUGGUUUUUGGGUUGGUUUUUUUUUUUUUUUUUUUUUUGGUUUGGGUUUUUUUGUUUGUUUGGGGUUUUUUUGUUUGUUUGUUUAAACAUAGCAUUUUGCUACAAUGUGAUACAGCAUUUUAAAAGAAAUAUAAAACUGUAAGUAUUAUAAACAAUAAAUACUUAAAAUUACAGCUUUAAAAUAAGCUUUAGUAAGGCCUAACUUAACACUGUGAGCUUUUCCUUCUAAGUUUCUUGAUCCAAAUACAACAUGCUUAUUUAAAAAAAUAUAUUAGAAUUCAUAGUUUUCUACUGACUGCCUUGAUGUUCAAAUAUGAUUAUGUUAAGUAUCUACUUAUGACAUAAAGGCAUCCCAGGUAUUAACCUCUCUCCUAUCCUCACUGUUCCUGGUCCAGAAAAAAAAAGUAU